ncrna:unclassified sequences wcaG RNA
AUAGGUUUCUUGCUUAUCCUAAAAGUAAGUGGUGCGGAUGGGUAACUCCCGCCCUGUUUCUUGCUUCAGGAUAAAGAGCAAGUGGCGUGCAUGUAA